GGGGAUUUAACUCAGUUGGUAGAGUGCUCGCUUAGCAUCGCUAAUUUGCGUGAAGUCGCGUGUUCGACUCAUGCAGUCUCCA
rfam:Tilletia controversa strain DAOM 236426 scaffold_45, whole genome shotgun sequence.